rnacentral:rRNA from 1 species
GCCCUUUUCCGGUUGAUCCUGCCGGAGGUUACUGCUAUCGAGGUUCGACUAAGCCAUGCGAGUCGAAUGUAGCAAUACAUGGCGAACUGCUCAGUAACACGUGGACAACCUGCCCUUAGGACGGGGAUAAACCCGGGAAACUGGGUAUAAUACCCGAUAGGUCUCGAUUGCUGGAAUGCAUCGAGAUUUAAAGCUCCGGCGCCUAAGGAUGGGUCUGCGGCCCAUCAGGUAGUAGUGGGUGUAGCGUACCUACUAGCCUACGACGGGUACGGGUUGUGAGAGCAAGAGCCCGGAGAUGGAUUCUGAGACACGAAUCCAGGCCCUACGGGGUGCAGCAGGCGCGAAAACUUUACAAUGCUGGCAACAGCGAUAAGGGAACCUCGAGUGCCAGGUUACAAAUCUGGCUGUCGAGAUGCCUAAGAAGCAUGUCAUAGCAAGGGCCGGGCAAGACCGGUGCCAGCCGCCGCGGUAACACCGGCGGCUCGAGUGGUAACCGUUAUUAUUGGGUCUAAAGGGUCUGUAGCCGGCCGGAUAAGUCUCUUGAGAAAUCUGGCAGCUUAACUGUCAGGCUUUCAGGAGAUACUGUCUGGCUCGAGGCCGGGAGAGGUGAGAGGUACUUCAGGGGUAGGGGUGAAAUCUUGUAAUCCUUGAAGGACCACCAGUGGCGAAGGCGUCUCACCAGAACGGACCUGACGGCAAGGGACGAAAGCUAGGGGCACGAACCGGAUUAGAUACCCGGGUAGUCCUAGCCGUAAACGAUACUCGCUAGGUGUCGGCCACGGUGCGACCGUUGUCGGUGCCGUAGGGAAGCCGUGAAGCGAGCCACCCUGGGAAAG